UACGAAGGGGGCUAGCGUUGCUCGGAAUCACUGGGCGUAAAGGGUGCGUAGGCGGGUCUUUAAGUCAGAGGUGAAAUCCCGGAGCUCAACUCCAGAACUGCCUUUGAUACUGAGGAUCUUGAGUUCGGGAGAGGUGAGUGGAACUGCGAGUGUAGAGGUGAAAUUCGUAGAUAUUCGCAAGAACACCAGUGGCGAAGGCGGCUCACUGGCCCGGUACUGACGCUGAGGUGCGAAAGCGUGGGGAGCAAACAGG
rnacentral:rRNA from 1 species